UCGAGAAUCUUCGGCAAUGGGCGCAAGCCUGACCGAGCGACGCCGCGUGCGGGAUGAAGGCCCUCGGGUUGUAAACCGCUGUCGGAGGGGAGGAAAUGCCAAGGGGUUCUCCUCUUGGUUUGACCUAUCCUCAAAGGAAGUACGGGCUAAGUUCGUGCCAGCAGCCGCGGUAAGACGAACCGUACAAACGUUAUUCGGAAUUACUGGGCUUAAAGGGUGCGUAGGCGGCCCGGAAAGUUGGGUGUGAAAUACCUCGGCUCAACCGAGGAGUUGCGCUCAAAACUACCGGGCUCGAGGAAGAUAGAGGUGAGCGGAACUUAGGGUGGAGCGGUGAAAUGCGUUGAUAUCCUAAGGAACACCGGUAGCGAAAGCGGCUCACUGGGUCUUUUCUGACGCUGAGGCACGAAAGCUAGGGGAGCGAAGAG
rnacentral:rRNA from 1 species